GGGUCAGUAGGUUGGUCGUGCCACCGGUACGUACUGGUCUCACUGAUUCCUCCUUCCUGAAGAAUCGUAAUGCCAUUAAUUUGGUGUCGCGGGGAAACAGGACUGUUACUUUGAAAAAAUUAGAGUGUUUAAAGCAAGCUAACGCUUGAAUACAUUAGCAUGGAAUAAUGAAAUAGGACGAUCGAUCCUAUUUUGUUGGUUUCUAGGAUUGACGUA
rnacentral:rRNA from 1 species